rnacentral:lncRNA from 11 species
GGAAGAAAAAUUGUGUGACUGAGUGUGGCUCUUCCCGGUGUGUCUCGCAGGUGUGUGGGAUGCUUGAAGGUCAUCCACCGCCUGCAGAAGAACUCCCCGUCCCAGGAGCAGAUCUACGCUUUCCUCUUUUGAGCCGGGAAACGUGGAGAUCCUGUUCUCGCUGCUGGUCCCAGCGGAAGAUUCCGACGAAGUGCGGGAGAGGAUUUUCAAGAUCCUGUACAAGCUGCUGAAGUACGAGAAAGUGAACGAACGAUGCAAAUACCGGCUGAAGCUGAAGGACAUUGGCUACCAAGGCCUGCUUUCUUCCCUGAACGACAUCCCCGUCUCCAUGCUCCUCUUCCGCUGCCUCCUGGAACAGGUCCUUGCAUCAGAUUCCCCAAACUACAAAGACUUGAUGGCUGUCGUUUACCUGUCUCACCGGGCCGAGCUGGCCGUCCGGCUAGACAUCUGCAGGAAGCUCUUCCACCUGAUUUACGCCCAGCACGACAUGGUCAAGCACUUGGCCAAACUGGCCGGGUGGCAAGACACCCUCACCAAGCUCUACGUGAAGGAGUCCUACGAGUCCCGCCAACACAGCUUGUCCGGCUCUGCCAACGGCAGCGGUUGCCUUGACCUCAUGAGGAUCGCAGACCACCCGGAGACAGCGAAGGAGUUGACUGACCCCGUGGCCCCUUCACCUGCGGAGCCACCCGACCUGGACGUCUUCCUCCCGCUGAGCUACGAGGCUUCGGACCCGGAGUUCUCGGAAGGGUUCUCGGACCACUCCAUCUCCCCGCAGAGGAGCAAACCCUUCCCGCCGUACGCCUUCAAGUCCUUCGACUCCUUCGACCUGGCCAGCCAUUCCUCCUCCUCCAACAACACGGACGGCCCCGGGCAGGGGGAGCCUCGUGGCGGGGAGGCGGUGCAGGCAGACCGCGUCUACCACCCGCUCUCCCCGUUCUCCAUGUGCCCCUUCGACCUGGGCUUGGACGUCGGCAGCACCAGCUCCGCGGCCACGGCCGAGAGCGGGAGCCAGACCCCCGUGAGCCUGCCGGGGACCCCCUCCCCCUUGGAGAGCUUCAAGCCCUUUCCCGGGACGCGAGCGCGGAAGAGCUCCAGCCUCUCUAACGUCUUGGACGACACCAGCUACCAGGAAGCGCUGCCCAGCGACAACAUCUCCAACACAAGCAACCCUCAGCAAACCCCCGAGGAGGAGCUUUGCAACCUGCUCACCAACAUCAUCUUUUCCGUCACGUGGCGUGGCGUGGAGGGCUGGGACGACGUGGCCUGGAAGGAGCGGGGACAGGUCUUCUCCGUCCUCACCAAGCUGGGAUCGGCCUGCGAACUGGUCCGCCCGCCGGAUGAGGUCAAGCGCAGCCUUCUGGAGAUGAUGAUGGAGUCGGCAUUGACGGACAUCAAAGAGGCCACGGCGGCCAUGCUGCCCAGCUUGACCCAGAACGCCCUGAAGCUGCUGCGCCUCCUCCAGGACUUCCUCUUCUCCGAGGGUCACAACAACCAGGCCUUGUGGAGUGAGAAGGUUUACGAGGGUGUCAACAGCCUGCUGGACAAACUGGGUGUGUGGUACCACUUGGCCAACGGCACUUCUGAUUUGAAAGAGAUGGCCCAGAUCGGCCUGCGGGUGCUGAUGGGGUACAUCAUGCUGGAGGAUGUCCA